rnacentral:rRNA from 1 species
UACGUAGGGUGCAAGCGUUGUCCGGAAUUAUUGGGCGUAAAGAGCUCGUAGGCGGUCUGUCGCGUCGGGCGUGAAAACUCAGGGCUUAACCCUGAGCCUGCUUCCGAUACGGGCAGACUAGAGGUAUGCAGGGGAGAGCGGAAUUCCUGGUGUAGCGGUGGAAUGCGCAGAUAUCAGGAGGAACACCGGUGGCGAAGGCGGUUCUCUGGGCAUUACCUGACGCUGAGGAGCGAAAGUGUGGGGAGCGAACAGG